rnacentral:pre_miRNA from 1 species
GUACUUCUCCUUCCGUUCCGAAUUACUUGUCGCACGUAUGGAUGUAUCUAGAUGUAUUUUAGUUCUAGAUACAUCCAUUUCAGCGACGAGUAAUUUGAAAUGGAGGGAGUAGUUA